rnacentral:rRNA from 1 species
CCCGCUGAACUUAAGCAUAUCAAUAAGCGGAGGAAAAGAAACCAACAAGGAUUCCCCUAGUAACUGCGAGUGAAGCGGGAAAAGCUCAAAUUUAAAAUCUGGCCGUCUCGCGGCCGUCCGAGUUGUAAUCUGGAGAAGCGCUUAUCCGCGUCGGACCGUGUACAAGUCUUCCGGAAGGGAGCGUCAUAGAGGGAGAGAAUCCCGUCUUUGACAGGGACAACCGAUGCUUUUAUGAGGCGCUCUCGAAGAGAUCGAGUUGUUUGGGAAUGCACCUCAAAAUGGGUGGUAAAUUCCAUCUAAAGCUAAAUAUUGGCGAGAGACCGAUAGCGAGCAAGUACCGUGAGGGAAAGAUGAAAAGCACUUUGGAAAGAGAGAUUAACACUACGUGAAAUUGUUGAGAGGGAAACGUUUGAAGUCAGUCGCGUCGGCCGAGAGUCAACCUUGCUUCUGCUAGGUGCACUUCUCGGUAGACGGAUCAGCAUCAAUUUCGACCGCCGGAUAAAGGUCGGGGGAAUGUGGCAUCCUCCGGGAUGUGCUAUAGACCACGAUUGGGAUACGGCGACUGGGAUCGAGGAACUCAGCGCUUUGCGUCCAGGAUGCUGGCAUAAUGGCUUUAAGCGACCCGUCUUGAAACACGG